rnacentral:misc_RNA from 1 species
CAGUUGGCAAUUUCAAUUUGUUUGAAGUAAAAUUCAUUUUAAACAUGGCAAUGUUGCCUGUAUCUGUGUAUCAAAAUUGACGCACUCAUGUGCAUUUUGUAUUUAACUCAUUUCAUUGCAAAAUUUAUUAAGUAUUCUGAAAUUAAACGUCUUUUCGAUGGCUCGUGACGGACACAAGCAUAAUAAACGAUCCAGAAGCCGAAGCAGAUCCAGUAGUCCUCGUUCUAAAAAACUUCGAGAACGAGAUAGAGAUGGGGAACACAGGCAAAGAGACAGGGAACGUGAAAGAGAUAGAGAUCGGGACAGGGAGCGUGACAAGAGAAGAAGCAGAUCAAAAGAUAGAGAUCAUGAUAAAUCUAAAAGACCAACAACAACUUCAGAACGAAGAAUUUCAAAAUCCCCUGAUAGAAAACCAACUUUAGUCGAAGAAAUUAAACCUGUUUUGAAAUCUGAAUCAGAGCUAAAGGAAGAAGCAGCUGUUGCAGCCAUGAUUGCCAAAGAAGAGGAGCAGAAAACUUUGGACUUGGAAAUGCAGAAACGCCGAGAACGAAUAGAAAAAUGGCGUUUAGAACGAAAGAUGCAGGAAAUUGCUCAAGUUAAAUCUGAUCUAGCCAAUCAAAGAGCUGGGAAAAAAUGGUCACUUGAAGAUGAUGAAGAAGAGGAAGAGGAAGAUGGAAAAUUGAAAACUGAAUCUGCUAAAGUUGAAGCAAUUGAAACGAUCAACGAAGAAAUAGAAGUUCAAGAAGCAGAGGAAGAAGUUGACCCUUUAGAUGCUUUUAUGCAGGACAUUCAAAGUGAAGUUCGAAAGGUUCAGAAACUUGACGUUCAAAAAUCAAAAGGAUCUGGCGUGAUGGUAAUGACCGGAGUAGCAAAGAAAGCUGCUAAAAAGAAAGGUGAGCUUGUGGAACAAAAUCAGGAUGCUUUGGAAUAUUCCUCAGAAGAAGAGUCAGAAGACUUGGCAUCAGCAAUGUCCGGACUGGCGAAUAGCAACAUAAAACAGAAAGAAAAAGUAUUUAAAAUUGAUCACAACAAAAUCAACUAUUUUCCUUUCCGGAAGAACUUUUACGUGGAAGUACCCGACAUAGCACGUAUGACCCAAGAAGAAGUAGAUGAAUACCGACAGGAACUUGAAGGCAUUAAAGUUAAAGGAAAAGGGUGUCCGAGACCUAUAAAAGCAUGGGCACAAUGUGGUGUUAGUAAAAAGGAAAUGGAAAUUCUAAAAAAAUUAGCAUAUGAAAAACCAACCCCCAUUCAAACGCAGACAAUCCCUGCAAUCAUGUCUGGCAGGGACAUAAUAGGUAUUGCCAAAACUGGCAGUGGCAAAACACUGGCAUUUUUGCUGCCUAUGUUUAGGCAUAUUUUAGACCAGCCUGCAUUAGAAGAGACUGAUGGGCCAAUCGCUAUCAUAAUGUCUCCUACCCGAGAAUUGUGCUUACAAAUCGGCAAAGAAUGUAAAAGAUUCACCAAGUCAUUGAAUUUGCGUGUGGUGACGGUCUACGGAGGAACGGGAAUAUCAGAGCAAAUAGCUGAACUAAAACGUGGCGCUGAAAUUAUUGUGUGCACACCCGGAAGAAUGAUUGAUAUGUUAGCUGCCAACAACGGACGUGUCACCAAUUUGCGGCGUGUGACUUACAUAGUUUUGGAUGAAGCUGAUCGCAUGUUCGACAUGGGUUUUGAGCCACAAGUAAUGCGAAUCAUUGAUAACACUCGCCCUGAUCGACAAACUGUUAUGUUUAGUGCUACAUUUCCCCGUCAAAUGGAGGCCUUGGCUCGUAGAAUCCUAAACAAACCUGUUGAAAUCACGGUUGGAGGUCGUAGCGUUGUUUGUGCUGACGUCGAACAGCAUGUUCUUGUUAUGGAAGACGAACAAAAAUUUUUGAAACUUUUAGAGUUAUUGGGGGUUUAUCAGGAACAAGGAAGUGUUCUUGUAUUUGUUGAGAAACAAGAAAGUGCUGAUGACCUGCUCAAAGAUUUGAUGAAAGCUGGAUACGAUUGCAUUUCCCUUCAUGGUGGUAUUGAUCAGUACGAUCGUGAUUCAGCUGUAGUUGACUUCAAAAAUGGAAAAAUCAAAUUGAUGAUUGCCACAUCUGUUGCCGCUCGUGGUUUAGAUGUGAAGCACCUUAUUUUGGUCGUCAACUACGAUUGCCCCAACCACCAUGAAGACUACAUUCAUAGAUGUGGACGCACCGGAAGAGCAGGCAAUAAAGGAUUUGCCUACACUUUUAUUACUCCAGAUCAGCAAAGGGCUGCAGGGGAUAUUAUUAAAGCAAUGGAACAAUCUGAAACGCCAGUGCCAGUUGAAUUACAAACUCUUUGGGACCAAUACAAAUCCAAGCUUGCUGCGGAAGGGAAAACUGUCCGCUCAGGAGGUGGUGGAUUUUCUGGUAAAGGGUUCAAAUUUGAUGAAUCUGAAGCUAUGGCUGUGUCAGAAAAGAAAAAAUUCCAGAAAGCCGCUUUGGGUCUGCAAGAUUCAGAUGAAGAAGAUAUAGAAAAUGAUUUGGAUGAACAAAUCGAAACUUUAAUGGCUGCAAAACGUAUUGUGCGUGAAGUUCAAGCUUCAACACUGGUGUCUGGGGGUGGCGGUUCUGUUGCCGCGAGCAUUCCAAGCAAAACGGCUACCGACAAGCUGGAAUUGGCCAAACGGUUAGCUUCAAGGAUUAAUCUUGCCAAGCAAUCGACUGGUCACGUUCCAGCCAUUCCCGAAACAUCCAUAGGAGCAAUUUCGGCUAGAAAUGUUGCAGAGCAGUUGGCAGCAAAACUCAAUACACGACUCAAUUAUGCACCUGUUGAAAGUGAAGAACCUAUGGAAGGAUCAGUAGAAGAAGGCGGAGAAAAUACUCCAUCUAGCUCAGACGUCAUUCAGAAGUUCGAGGAAGAGUUAGAAAUUAACGACUUCCCACAACCUGUUCGCUGGAAAAUCACAUCUAGGGAGGCUUUGGCCCAGGUAAGCGAAUUUUCAGAAGCUGGCGUUUUUGUCCGAGGAACAUAUUGCGCACCGGGAAAGAAGAUCGCUGACGAAGAGAGAAAAUUAUAUUUAGCCAUCGAGAGCACGAGUGAAAUGGCAGUUUCAAAAGCACGAAAAGAAAUUGUCCGUAUUCUAAAGGAAGAAAUGCUUCGAUUGGCCAGUUCUACCUCCUAUCAAGGUUCUAAAACUGGUAGAUACAAAGUUUGAAUCUUCUUGGUAGUACCGUACCGUCUUUUCCAUCGUCUCAGAAAAUGCAGGUUAGGGAUUGGGGGUUGGAGAUGAUUUAUUUACAUCAUAAAAAAAAAAAAAAAAUUGCACUGGAUGUUAUGAUUGGAUCUACUUGACAUUCGCCCUAGCGCCUUUAAAAGAAAAGAAAGAGAAUAAAAACUGAAGGGGCUCAACA